rnacentral:rRNA from 1 species
AUACGUAGGGGGCGAGCGUUGUCCGGAAUGAUUGGGCGUAAAGGGCGCGUAGGCGGCGCGGUAAGUCUGGAGUGAAAGUCCUGCUUUCAAGGUGGGAAUUGCUUUGGAUACUGCCGCGCUUGAGUGCAGGAGAGGUUAUCGGAAUUCCCGGUGUAGCGGUGAAAUGCGUAGAGAUCGGGAGGAACACCAGCGGCGAAGGCGGGUAACUGGACUGCAACUGACGCUGAGGCGCGAAAGUGUGGGGAGCAAACAGGAUUAGAUACCCUGGUAGUCCACACUGUAAACGAUGAAUGCUAGGUGUAAGAGGUAUCGACCCCUUUUGUGCCGGAGUCAACACAAUAAGCAUUCCGCCUGGGGAGUACGGCCGCAAGGUUGAAACUCAAAUGAAUUGACGGGG